rnacentral:tRNA from 1 species
GGGCCAGUAGCUCAUCUGGUAGAGCAUCGCGUUUGCAACGCGAGGGUGGCAGGUUCGAGUCCUGUCUGGUCCA